ACCCACCGUUCAUGUUAAUCAAAACAUUGUCUAGCUUUUGCUUCUGAACAGUCAAAUCUCUCCAUAGCGCUCGUGUGAGAGUGUGAUCAUCUUCAUCCUCAAUCCGGCGCCGGAGAAAAAUGUUGCAGUCUUCGAUUCGGCGAGUGAGGAAGUUGAAUGUUCUGAGGCCUCAGAUCUUUGCUCUCGGAAAUUCUCGUUUCUCCACUUUUGCUCAACCGUCUUCCAAGCCUCAUCCUCCGAGGGUUCCAAAUCUCAUAGGAGGGACUUUUGUGGAUUCUCAAUCCUCGGCAUUCAUAGAUGUCAUAAACCCAGCAACACAAGAAGUUGUUUCUCAAGUUCCAUUGACCACAAAUGAUGAAUUUAAAGCUGCAGUGUCUGCAGCAAAG
rnacentral:misc_RNA from 1 species